rnacentral:rRNA from 1 species
UACAGAGGGUGCGAGCAUUAAUCGGAAUUACUGGGCGUAAAGCGUGCGUAGACGGUUAUUUAAGUCGGGUGUGAAAGCCCCGGGCUCAACCUGGGAAUUGCAUUCGAGACUGAAUAGCUAGGGUACGGUAGAGGGAAGUGGAAUUUCCGGUGUAGCGGUGAAAUGCGUAGAUAUCGGAAGGAACAUCAGUGGCGAAGGCGGGUCUCUGGACAACACCUGACGCUGAGGCACGAAAGCCAGGGGAGCAAACGGG